GCUAGUAAUGGCAGGUCAGCAUACUGCCGUGAAUACGUUCCCGGGCCCUUGUACACACCGCCCGUCACACCAUGAGAGUUGGGAAUACCCGAAGCCUGUGAGCUAACGAAAGAGGCAGCAGUCGAAGGUAGAAUCAAUGAUUGGGGUGAAGUCGUAACAAGGUAAC
rnacentral:rRNA from 1 species